ensembl:snRNA U1 U1 spliceosomal RNA
AAACUUACCCGGCAGGGGAAAAACCAUUAUCAGGAAGGUAGUUUACCCAGGAUGAGGCUCAUCCUGUGCUUACCCCUGCAAUGCUGUGAACUAUUAAAGGUGUGUUUACAUUCACUUAUG